rnacentral:rRNA from 1 species
AGAGUUUGAUCCUGGCUCAGGAUAAACGCUGGCGGCGCACAUAAGACAUGCAAGUCGAACGAACUUAACCUUUAGUUUACUAUUGGAGCGGUUAGUGGCGGACUGGUGAGUAACACGUAAGCAACCUGCCUAUCAGAGGGGAACAACAGUUAGAAAUGACUGCUAAUACCGCAUAUACCUAAGUAACGCAUGUUACAAUAGGGAAAGGAGCAAUCCGCUGAUAGAUGGGCUUGCGUCUGAUUAGAUAGUUGGUGGGGUAACGGCCUACCAAGUCGACGAUCAGUAGCCGGACUGAGAGGUUGAACGGCCACAUUGGGACUGAGAUACGGCCCAGACUCCUACGGGAGGCAGCAGUCGGGAAUAUUGCGCAAUGGAGGAAACUCUGACGCAGUGACGCCGCGUGCAGGAAGAAGGUUUUCGGAUUGUAAACUGCUUUAGACAGGGAAGAUACAAGACAGUACCUGUAAAAUAAGCUCCGGCUAACUACGUG